UACGGAGGGUGCAAGCGUUAAUCGGAAUUACUGGGCGUAAAGCGUGCGCAGGCGGUUUGUUAAGUCUGUUGUGAAAUCCCCGAGCUCAACUUGGGAAUUGCAAUGGAUACUGGCAGGCUGGAGUAUGGUAGAGGAAGGUGGAAUUCCCGGUGUAGCAGUGAAAUGCGUAGAGAUCGGGAGGAACACCAGUGGCGAAGGCGGCCUUCUGGACCAAUACUGACGCUCAUGCACGAAAGCGUGGGGAGCAAGCAGG
rnacentral:rRNA from 1 species